rnacentral:ncRNA from 1 species
UAUCGGUGCUGACUGAAGUAAGUCCGACGUGUUUCAAAGACACUGCCUUUCAAGGCUUAGGGAUUAC